AGAGUUUGAUCAUGGCUCAGAGUGAACGCUGGCGGCGUGCUUAACACAUGCAAGUCGAGCGAAUUUUGGCAGUGUAUCGCCAGAGUUAGCGGCAGACGGGUGAGUAAUACUUGGGUAAUCUACCCUUGAGUGGGAAACAACCUGCCGAAAGGUGGGCUAAUGUCCCAUAAGACCACAGGAUGGCAUCAUCCAGGGGUCAAAGGUCCGCAAGGGCCGCUUGAGGAGGAACCCGAGUCCUAUCAUGGUAGUUGGUGAGGUAACGGCUCACCAAGCCUUUGACGGGUAGCCGGCCUGAAAGGGUGAUCGGCCACACUGGCACUGAGACACGGGCCAGACUCCUACGGGAGGCAGCAGUGGGGAAUUUUGGACAAUGGGGGCAACCCUGAUCCAGCGACGCCGCGUGGAGGACGAAGGUCUUCGGAUUGUAAACUCCUUUUGGAGGGGAUGAAUGCCUGAGUGAAUAACUCAGGGUGACAGUACCCUCGGAAUAAGCCACGGCUAACUACGUGCCAGCAGCCGCGGUAAUACGUAGGUGGCAAGCGUUACUCGGAAUCACUAGGCGUAAAGCGCAGGUAGGCGGUUCGGUAAGUCUCUUGUGAAAGCUCCUGGCUCAACUGGGAGAGGUCAAGGGAAACUACCGGGCUAGAGUGUGGUAGGGGAUACUGGAAUUCCCGGUGUAGCGGUGAAAUGCGUAGAUAUCGGGAGGAAUACCUAUGGCGAAAGCAGGUAUCUGGGCCAUCACUGACGCUGAGCUGCGAAAGCUAGGGGAGCAAACAGGAUUAGAUACCCUGGUAGUCCUAGCCCUAAACGAUGCUCAUUAGAUGUGGGAGGUAUCGACCCCUUCCGCGUCGCAGCUAACGCAUUAAAUGAGCCGCCUGGGGAGUACGGCCGCAAGGUUGAAGCUCAAGGAAUUGACGGGGGCCCGCACAAGCGGUGGAACAUGUGGUUUAAUUCGACGCAACGCGAAGAACCUUACCUGGGCUUGAACUA
rnacentral:rRNA from 1 species